GUCAUGGCUACGCGUGCAGACGUGCGUCAUCGCCGCGCGCCGCGCCGAGCGGAUCUCGGAGUCGGUGGGUGCAGAUGGCGGCGGCAGUUGUGGUGGCGGAGGGGGACAGCGACUCCCGACCCGGACAGGAGUUGUUAGUGGCCUGGAACACCGUGAGCACCGGCCUGGUGCCGCCGGCUGCGCUGGGGCUGGUGUCUUCCCGGACCAGCGGUGCAGUCCCGCCAAAGGAAGAGGAGCUCCGGGCGGCGGUGGAGGUUCUGAGGGGCCACGGCCUACACUCGGUCCUGGAGGAGUGGUUCGUAGAGGUGCUGCAGAAUGACCUGCAGGCCAAUAUCUCCCCUGAGUUCUGGAAUGCCAUCUCCCAAUGCGAGAACUCUGCGGAUGAGCCCCAGUGCCUUCUGCUGCUCCUUGACGCUUUUGGCCUGCUGGAGAGCCGCCUGGAUCCCUACCUGCGUAGCCUAGAGCUGCUGGAGAAAUGGACUCGCCUGGGCUUGCUGAUGGGCACUGGUGCUCAGGGGCUGCGAGAAAAAGUCCACACUAUGUUGCGCGGAGUCUUGUUCUUUAGCACCCCCAGAACCUUCCAAGAGAUGAUCCAGCGUCUGUAUGGGUGCUUCUUGAGAGUCUAUAUGCAGAGUAAGAGGAAGGGGGAAGGGGGCACAGACCCGGAACUGGAGGGGGAGCUGGACAGCCGGUAUGCCCGUCGCCGGUACUACCGGCUCCUGCAGAGCCCGCUGUGUGCAGGGUGCAGCAGUGACAAGCAACAGUGCUGGUGUCGCCAGGCUCUGGAGCAGUUCCAUCAACUCAGCCAGGUCUUACACAGGCUCAGUCUGCUGGAGCGGGUCAGUGCCGAGGCUGUGACCACCACCCUGCACCAGGUGACCCGGGAGAGGAUGGAGGACCGUUGCCGAGGCGAGUACGAGCGCUCCUUCUUGCGUGAGUUCCACAAGUGGAUCGAGCGGGUGGUCGGCUGGCUCGGCAAGGUGUUCCUGCAGGAUGGCCCCACCAGGCCUGCGUCUCCUGAGGCCGGCAACACCCUGCGCCGCUGGCGCUGCCAUGUGCAAAGGUUCUUCUACCGCAUCUACGCCAGCCUGCGCAUCGAGGAGCUCUUCAGCAUCAUCCGAGGUCGUCCCGCCCCGGCCUCGGGGUCCACUCUCCCGUCUGGGGAGUCUUCCCAGGGCCUUUGCUAUGUCUCCUCUGUGUCUGCGUCUGGGCUCCCUGUGCCUUCACUGUCGCUCUUGCAGGGGGGUGCGCCGGGCAGUGCUGGGACCCUCCCCACCACGGCGUCCCCCGUGCCUGGAUCAGGGCAGGUGUGGCAGAUGCUGGACGGUGCUUCUGGGUGUCCACUGCUGUGCUCCCUUGGCCUUCGCUCCUGCUGGGGACUGGCCCCUGGGUGUUGCUCUGUCCACCCUGUGGCGUUCUGGUCAAAUGCAUCAGCACGCCAGAGUGUCGGGGGAUGUCUGGUGCCUAGCAGGUGGUCUCGUCGUCGUCCUGGGGCUGGCAAGCGCGUGUCCUCUCCCACACUGCACACACUCUGCACCAGCCAGCACAUGCGCACGCAUCCAUGUCUGUCCCUGAGGGAUGUUCCUCUUCUUGUAGACUUCCCAGACUCCCGGCCAGCCAUCGAGGACCUCAAGUACUGCCUGGAGAGGACGGACCAGAGGCAGCAGCUGCUCGUGUCCCUCAAGGCUGCCCUGGAGACUCGGCUCCUGCAUCCAGGUGUCAACACAUGUGACAUUAUCACCCUCUACAUCUCUGCCAUCAAGGCGCUGCGCGUGCUGGACCCUUCCAUGGUCAUCCUGGAGGUGGCCUGUGAGCCCAUCCGCCGCUACCUGAGGACACGGGAGGACACGGUGCGGCAGAUUGUGGCUGGGCUGACGGGGGACUCGGACGGGACAGGGGACCUGGCUGUUGAGCUGUCCAAGACCGACCCGGCGAGCCUGGAGACAGGCCAGGACAGCGAGGAUGACUCGGGCGAGCCGGAGGACUGGGUCCCAGACCCUGUGGAUGCUGAUCCGGGGAAGUCGAGCUCCAAGCGGCGUUCAUCGGACAUCAUCAGCCUGCUGGUUAGCAUCUACGGCAGCAAGGACCUCUUCAUCAAUGAGUACCGCUCGCUGCUGGCCGACCGCCUGCUGCACCAGUUCAGCUUCAGCCCCGAGCGGGAGAUCCGCAAUGUGGAGCUGCUGAAGCUGCGCUUUGGCGAGGCCCCAAUGCACUUCUGUGAAGUCAUGCUGAAGGACAUGGCAGAUUCCCGCCGCAUCAACGCCAACAUCCGGGAGGAGGAUGAGAAGCGGCCAGCAGAGGAGCAGCCACCGUUCGGGGUCUAUGCUGUCAUCCUGUCCAGUGAGUUCUGGCCGCCCUUCAAGGACGAGAAGCUGGAGGUCCCCGAGGAUAUCAGGGCAGCCCUGGAGGCUUACUGCAAGAAGUACGAGCAGCUCAAGCUGCUGGAUCCUGGAAGGACUCAGGAACCCUUGGCCCACAGAGCAGGCCAUGCGGACCCUCAGUUGGAAGCACACCCUGGGUCUGGUGACCAUGGACGUGGAGCUGGCUGACCGCACGCUGUCUGUGGCGGUCACCCCGGUACAGGCGGUGAUCUUGCUGUAUUUUCAGGACCAAGCCAGCUGGACCCUGGAGGAAUUGAGCAAGGCGGUGAAGAUGCCCGUGGCGCUGCUGCGGCGGCGGAUGUCCGUGUGGUUGCAACAGGGUGUGCUGCGCGAGGAGCCCCCCGGCACCUUCUCUGUCAUUGAGGAGGAGCGGCCUCAGGACCGGGACAACAUGGUGCUCAUUGACAGUGACGAUGAGAGCGACUCCGGCAUGGCCUCCCAGGCUGACCAGAAGGAGGAGGAGCUGCUGCUCUUCUGGACGUACAUCCAGGCCAUGCUGACCAACCUGGAGAGCCUCUCGCUGGAUCGUAUCUACAACAUGCUCCGCAUGUUUGUGGUGACCGGGCCUGCACUGGCCGAGAUUGACCUGCAGGAGCUGCAGGGCUACCUGCAGAAGAAGGUGCGGGACCAGCAGCUCGUCUACUCGGCCGGUGUCUACCGCCUGCCCAAGAACUGCAGCUGACACACCCACCCGCCUGCCCGCCAGGAGCUGCCCUGCAGGUGCGCUCGUCCUCCCGUGCCUGCCCCCGCCUGCCUGUGUCCCAGAAUGCACUGCUUAGGAGCACACCCACCCCCACCCCCACAGUGUGCAGAUUAAAGCAAGUCAGAUCAUC